rnacentral:rRNA from 1 species
AGAGCGAACGCUGGCGGCAGGCCUAAUACAUGCAAGUCGAGCGGACCCUUCGGGGUUAGUGGCGGACGGGUGAGUAACACGUGGGAACGUGCCCUUUGGUUCGGAACAACUCAGGGAAACUUGAGCUAAUACCGAAUGUGCCCCCAUCCUUAAACAAGAUGGGUGGGAAAGAUUUAUCGCCAUUGGAGCGGCCCGCGUCUGAUUAGCUAGUUGGUGAGGUAAAGGCUCACCAAGGCGACGAUCAGUAGCUGGUCUGAGAGGAUGAUCAGCCACACUGGGACUGAGACACGGCCCAGACUCCUACGGGAGGCAGCAGUAGGGAAUCUUGCGCAAUGGGCGAAAGCCUGACGCAGCCAUGCCGCGUGAGUGAUGAAGGCCUUCGGGUUGUAAGCUCGUUUACCGGGAAGAUAAUGACUGUACCGGAGAAUAAGCUCCGGCUAACUUCGUGCCAGCAGCCGCGGU